CCUAUGGGGUGCAGCAGGCGCGAAACCUCUGCAAUAGGCGAAAGCCUGACAGGGUUACUCUGAGUGACUUUCGCUAAGAAAGUCUUUUGACACCUCUAAAAAUGGUGUAGAAUAAGGGGUGGGCAAGUCUGGUGUCAGCCGCCGCGGUAAUACCAGCACCCCGAGUGGUCGGGACGAUUAUUGGGCCUAAAGCAUCCGUAGCCGGUUUUACAAGUCCUCCGUUAAAUCCAGCUGCUUAACAGAUGGGCUGCGGAGGAUACUAUAAGACUAGGAGGCAGGAGAGGCAAGCGGUACUCAGUGGGUAGGGGUAAAAUCCGUUGAUCCAUUGAAGACCACCAGUGGCGAAGGCGGCUUGCCAGAAUGCGCUCGACGGUGAGGGAUGAAAGCUGGGGGAGCAAACCGGAUUAGAUACCCGCGUAGUCC
rnacentral:rRNA from 2 species